UCCCUGGUGGUCCAGUGGUUAAGACUCUGCACUUCUAAUGUGGGGGGAGGGAGCAGGUUCAAUCCCUGGUCAGGGGG
rnacentral:tRNA from 1 species